AAUGAAUAGCUGGAGUUGUAACUCUCAUCAGUUCUGUCCCACGAACACAACAAUCCCUCAUUCCUAAAAUUAACCCGACUAACAGUCCCUCUGCCACUUCUGAAAAAUGCUAGUUGUGUCUUCAGGAAGUGAUUAGCCUGUCUGGCAACUCGGUGCAUUGUUUUAGGGCUUCUCAUUGUGUGUUUGCUCCACUUUUUAAGGGAGUCAUUUUGCUAUGGUCUUUGAACCUUCAGGAAAAGAAAACUGUCAGAUCAUUUAACUUGGUUAGUAUUAGUAGUUUAGAAGUGGGAGUGAUAAGGCAGUAUGAUAGUUAAUAUUUAAAAAGCAUUUGCUAUGUGACAAAACUUCCCUAAAGUGUUUAUGUAUGUGUAUUAUAUAGAUAUCAAAUGAAGAACACAUUCUUAUAUACUAUGCCUUAAGUGAAUAUGCAUAUAGUAUAUAUUUUAAGUACAUAUUCAUAUAUGUGUAUAUAUUCACUUAAACUUGCAACAAUCCUGCUUUUAUAGAUGAAGGCAAUAAAACUGAAGCCCAAGAUAUACCGCUUUGGCGCAUUUAUAUUUGAAUUAAUGAACGCUGGAUUCCUCGGUUUACUAUUUAACAGCAGCUUGACUGUGCCUCAGUCUAAUGGCCUCAGCGAGUUAGACCUCGUCUGGACUGUACUUCCCUUGACUGUUAGAGUUGCACAGACAACUGUAUAGAAGGCAGACAUUGUUUGCAAAGGAUUCACGUUGCUCUUUUAGUAUAUGGUUCAUAAUGAAGUAAUUAAUAUCAGGAUAAAUAGUCGACAAUCAGCCUUUUACAUUUAAAUACAAUGCCUUAUAUUUAAUCAGUGCCCUGAAAGGAAGUGCAUUCUGUAAGCUAAAAUUCUCUGCAACACAAAAAAAAAUAUAAAACUAACGUGCUAAGAUGCAAAGUAGGUCAUAUCACAAGGUACGAAUAUAUAUAAUAUUGAUCACUGUUAUACGUUAAAUAUUGUACCUAAGGCAGAUACCAUUGUAAGAACUAAAUACACCCAAAGUGAGAAAAGUUUCGGUCAACUGUGGUGACACACAACUGUAAUCCUAGAACCGAAGCUGCUGCAGCAGGAGGAUUGCAGGUCUGAGGUCACUCUAGGGUACAUAAUGGCAUCCUGCCUUUUAAAAGGAACUACUUUUACAAAGACAUUUAUUCUGAGUUAUACUGAGAAAAUAUACUCUUAAUGGGAAAGCAUAAAAGUAACAAGUGUGCUUAACAUAUAUACAUGCUGAGAUUUCCUUUUAGAAGUACUUGAAAUUUUAAAUCAAUUCCAUUAAUUUCUGUGAAUCUAAAGAGGAAUAUAAGCUCUUGAAUUUUCCUGUUAACAAUGGAUACAGAAGUCCAGAUAUCAAAGAAAACCCCAAUAAAGUUAACACCUUGCAUUACUUCGAGC
rnacentral:lncRNA from 1 species